ACAGCCCCGUACACAAAAAUGCACAUGCUGUGAGCUCGAUGAGUAGGGCGGGACACGUGGUAUCCUGUCUGAAUAUGGGGGGACCAUCCUCCAAGGCUAAAUACUCCUGACUGACCGAUAGUGAACCAGUACCGUGAGGGAAAGGCGAAAAGAACCCCGGCGAGGGGAGUGAAAAAGAACCUGAAACCGUGUACGUACAAGCAGUGGGAGCACAGAGCAAUCUGUGUGACUGCGUACCUUUUGUAUAAUGGGUCAGCGACUUAUAUUCUGUAGCAAGGUUAACCGAAUAGGGGAGCCGAAGGGAAACCGAGUCUUAACUGGGCGUUAAGUUGCAGGGUAUAGACCCGAAACCCGGUGAUCUAGCCAUGGGCAGGUUGAAGGUUGGGUAACACUAACUGGAGGACCGAACCGACUAAUGUUGAAAAAUUAGCGGAUGACUUGUGGCUGGGGGUGAAAGGCCAAUCAAACCGGGAGAUAGCUGGUUCUCCCCGAAAGCUAUUUAGGUAGCGCCUCGUGAAUUCAUCUCCGGGGGUAGAGCACUGUUUCGGCAAGGGGGUCAUCCCGACUUACCAACCCGAUGCAAACUGCGAAUACCGGAGAAUGUUAUCACGGGAGACACACGGCGGGUGCUAACGUCCGUCGUGAAGAGGGAAACAACCCAGACCGCCAGCUAAGGUCCCAAAGUCAUGGUUAAGUGGGAAACGAUGUGGGAAGGCCCAGACAGCCAGGAUGUUGGCUUAGAAGCAGCCAUCAUUUAAAGAAAGCGUAAUAGCUCACUGGUCGAGUCGGCCUGCGCGGAAGAUGUAACGGGGCUAAACCAUGCACCGAAGCUGCGGCAGCGACACUGUGUGUUGUUGGGUAGGGGAGCGUUCUGUAAGCCUGUGAAGGUGUGCUGUGAGGCAUGCUGGAGGUAUCAGAAGUGCGAAUGCUGACAUAAGUAACGAUAAAGCGGGUGAAAAGCCCGCUCGCCGGAAGACCAAGGGUUCCUGUCCAACGUUAAUCGGGGCAGGGUGAGUCGACCCCUAAGGCGAGGCCGAAAGGCGUAGUCGAUGGGAAACAGGUUAAUAUUCCUGUACUUGGUGUUACUGCGAAGGGGGGACGGAGAAGGCUAUGUUGGCCGGGCGACGGUUGUCCCGGUUUAAGCGUGUAGGCUGGUUUUCCAGGCAAAUCCGGAAAAUCAAGGCUGAGGCGUGAUGACGAGGCACUACGGUGCUGAAGCAACAAAUGCCCUGCUUCCAGGAAAAGCCUCUAAGCAUCAGGUAACAUCAAAUCGUACCCCAAACCGACACAGGUGGUCAGGUAGAGAAUACCAAGGCGCUUGAGAGAACUCGGGUGAAGGAACUAGGCAAAAUGGUGCCGUAACUUCGGGAGAAGGCACGCUGAUAUGUAGGUGAAGUCCCUCGCGGAUGGAGCUGAAAUCAGUCGAAGAUACCAGCUGGCUGCAACUGUUUAUUAAAAACACAGCACUGUGCAAACACGAAAGUGGACGUAUACGGUGUGACGCCUGCCCGGUGCCGGAAGGUUAAUUGAUGGGGUCAGCGCAAGCGAAGCUCUUGAUCGAAGCCCCGGUAAACGGCGGCCGUAACUAUAACGGUCCUAAGGUAGCGAAAUUCCUUGUCGGGUAAGUUCCGACCUGCACGAAUGGCGUAAUGAUGGCCAGGCUGUCUCCACCCGAGACUCAGUGAAAUUGAACUCGCUGUGAAGAUGCAGUGUACCCGCGGCAAGACGGAAAGACCCCGUGAACCUUUACUAUAGCUUGACACUGAACAUUGAGCCUUGAUGUGUAGGAUAGGUGGGAGGCUUUGAAGUGUGGACGCCAGUCUGCAUGGAGCCGACCUUGAAAUACCACCCUUUAAUGUUUGAUGUUCUAACGUGGACCCGUGAUCCGGGUUGCGGACAGUGUCUGGUGGGUAGUUUGACUGGGGCGGUCUCCUCCUAAAGAGUAACGGAGGAGCACGAAGGUUGGCUAAUCCUGGUCGGACAUCAGGAGGUUAGUGCAAUGGCAUAAGCCAGCUUGACUGCGAGCGUGACGGCGCGAGCAGGUGCGAAAGCAGGUCAUAGUGAUCCGGUGGUUCUGAAUGGAAGGGCCAUCGCUCAACGGAUAAAAGGUACUCCGGGGAUAACAGGCUGAUACCGCCCAAGAGUUCAUAUCGACGGCGGUGUUUGGCACCUCGAUGUCGGCUCAUCACAUCCUGGGGCUGAAGUAGGUCCCAAGGGUAUGGCUGUUCGCCAUUUAAAGUGGUACGCGAGCUGGGUUUAGAACGUCGUGAGACAGUUCGGUCCCUAUCUGCCGUGGGCGCUGGAGAACUGAGGGGGGCUGCUCCUAGUACGAGAGGACCGGAGUGGACGCAUCACUGGUGUUCGGGUUGUCAUGCCAAUGGCACUGCCCGGUAGCUAAAUGCGGAAGAGAUAAGUGCUGAAAGCAUCUAAGCACGAAACUUGCCCCGAGAUGAGUUCUCCCUGACCCUUUAAGGGUCCUGAAGGAACGUUGAAGACGACGACGUUGAUAGGCCGGGUGUGUAAGCGCAGCGAUGCGUUGAGCUAACCGGUACUAAUGAACCGUGAGGCUUAACCUUACAACGCCGAAGGUGUUU
rnacentral:rRNA from 1 species